ACUAACAAAUAUAUAAUAAAUGUGCUAUCACGAAUGAAUGUGAGCUAAACGCGCAUAUGGUGUAUUUGCGUGCGUUGCAUAGCGCGUAUUAAAUGCGCGUUUAGGGGUGAUAGGCUUUUCAAACGUUCGUAUAACUUGUUUCAUAUGAAAAGUAUUUAGUACCUAAACAAAUUUGAAAAGUUAAGCUUUUAAAUUAUUAUUAAAGAUAUUAUUCCCUUGUAGUGUAGUUUAAUAGCUAUCUACAUAGAAACUUAACAUUAAGUAUGUUAGUUUAUAUUUUAUAGUAUGACGUUAACAAUUUGUGUUAAUAAAUUGAAAAUGUUAGUAUUAGUAGUAUUAGUAUAUGUGCUAAAGGAACUCGGCAAAAAACCGCUCAACUGUUUAUCAAAAACAUAGCUAUAUGAAUUAAUAUAUAGUUGUUUCUGCUCAAUGACUUAAAUAGCCGCAGUACUCUGACUGUGCAAAGGUAGCAUAAUCAGUUGGCUUUUAAUUAGAGUCUGGUAUGAACGAAAAUAUGGGUAGUAACUGUCUUAGCACAUUUCUUUGAACUUGUUAAACAAGUGCAAAUGCUUGUAAUUAAACAAUAGACGAGAAGACCCUAGAAACUUGGACAUGUUUUUGUUGGGGCGACAGAAUUACAUUUAACUAAUCUUCUAAUACAUGACGCGAUGCUGAAAGAAUAAGUUACUCUAGGGAUAACAGCAUAAUUUCAUUAGUUUGUGACCUCGAUGUUGGACUAGGUACUAUACCCUUAAGGCAAGGAUAUAUUGUGCUCUGUUCGAGCAAAAUUACCUACAUGAUCUGAGUUCAGACCGG
rnacentral:rRNA from 1 species